UACGGAGGGGGCUAGCGUUGUUCGGAAUUACUGGGCGUAAAGCGCACGUAGGCGGCUUUGUAAGUUAGAGGUGAAAUCCCAGGGCUCAACUCUGGAACUGCCUUUAAUACUGGCAAUCUCGAGUCCGAGAGAGGUGAGUGGAAUUCCGAGUGUAGAGGUGAAAUUCGUAGAUAUUCGGAGGAACACCAGUGGCGAAGGCGGCUCACUGGCUCGGUACUGACGCUGAGGUGCGAAAGCGUGGGGAGCAAACAGG
rnacentral:rRNA from 1 species